AAGAAAUACAGCCUAGGUCAGCUUUGUUUUGUCUGUAUGCUCAUCUUAUUUGGUUUCCAUUCUCUCACACUCCUCCUUCCCAGAUAGCUCAAGGUCUAGAAUGGCAGAGAAAACUGAAUAUAUGAGGUCAUGGGCUAAAAAGCUUCCAUGAUUUAGUUCUUUUGUUAAAGGCUGCAUAGAAGAGAAGAAGCAGCUAACUUCCAAAACAGGGAAAUGUAAGGAAGCAUGUGUCAAAUACUUUGAGAAAAAACAUUAUGGUGCAUCUUGCCAAAGGCAUAAUGUAAGUACGAAAUCAAACAUCAUGUUAAAAAUAUACCACUUUAGGUGUUGCCUUCUUUCAAUGUAUGAAUGACGAGAGAAGUGACUUGAUUGAUUCUAAGUAAUAUAGAUUAAACCAGCCAAUGGCUGAUUGAACCAGCCAAGAUUCAAUUGCCUUGGGUAUUGUGAUCUUUAAAAAAACCAAUGGAAUCAUUUGUACAGUGGAAAUAAUUUAAAUCUGUAUACAGUGAACAAUAUCUCUGGUUACUUUUUAUUUUAUCACACCUUAAUUGGGAAAUUAAUAAUUAGGCAAAUGUACAAGUCGAAUGAAAACUUCUAGAGAAAAAAGUGAUCAAAACUUUAAAAUUAUUUACUUGAUUUUUAGAUAGAGGGACAAUAUAGGGUCUGAAACACAAUCUACAAAACACAUUUGAAAAUUGUUUAGCACCCAGUUUGGCCUUUCUUGAAUAUUCAAACUAUAAGGAAAUUAUAUGGGACAUAAAAGUAAAACAGUCAUAUGCAAAUUAAUAAAUAAGACUUCUUGAGAGAUAUAUUUAUAUUA
rnacentral:lncRNA from 12 species